rnacentral:lncRNA from 10 species
AGUGCAGUGGUGUGAUCACAGCUCACUGCAUCCACUAGCUUCUGGGCCCCAGUGAUCCUCCCACCUCAGCUUCCUGAGUAGCCGGGACUACAGGUGCAUGCUACCAUGACCAGCUAAUUUUUUAAUUUUUUGUAGGUGUAGGGUCUUGCCAUGUUUCUCAGACCAGCUUCAACCUCCUCAGCUCAAGCAAUCCCCUAGCUUUGGCUUCCCAAAGUGCUGGUAUUAAAGGCGUGAGCCACUCUGGCCAGCAAAGGAAAGUUUUGUUGUUGUUGUUGUUUGAGAUGGAGUUUUGCUCUUGUUGCCCAGGCUGGAGUGCAAUGGCGUGAUCUUGGCUCACUACAACCUCUGCCUCCCAGGUUCAAGUGAUUCUCCUUCCUCAACGUCCUGAGUAGCUGGGAGUACAGGCAUGAGCCAACGGGCCUGGCCAAGGGUAGUUUUUAAGCAGAUAAAUAAUUGGUCUCCUGCGGGUAUUUCUGGAAAGGUUAACUACACUUACCUUCACUGAAUCAUGUCAUUCCUUGUCCCCAGAUAUAAAAGCGAAGGCAUUUCUACUAAUACAUUUGACGACUGUAUUAGGUGUGGGAAGUCUCUGUUUUUACGUACCCUUUGAUGAAGUAUAAGCAAAAAGUUUAUAUUUGGACAAAUAUAAAGUAUGCAUGAAUAAUUAAGAUGAAACAUAAGACUGAAUUCAAAUAAAUUCAACCUUUGGACUCUGCCCCCCAGAACAUUGAGCAUUUAUAUUCACUCACCUGAAAUUAUUAAUAUUUAUGUGGAAAAGCCUGGAAAUAACUGAAAUCUCUCAUUGCUGUCUCAAAGAUAUGUUUGCGUGACCUAUCUCAGGUCACACAGUCUGUUAGAAUUAGAGCUGGAAAUAGAACCCAACACUUCCCAAAAGCUGCGGAAAGGCCCUGGCAUCAAAUAUUGCCUUCUCUGUCACCACCAGAGAAGGCUAAAAAGAGACAUCAUUAAUUAAUUAAUCAGAUGCUUUUGAGGGAUUAAGGCAGUAAGGAAGGAAAGAAAAAACAUUUUGGUAUUAACCACAUACUCAGCAACUUGGUUUUAUGAAUUAACAAAACAUGGAGAGAUAAGCUGAGGCUCAGAGAGGCCCCAGUACCACCCGGCUAGUUAGUGAUGGCAUUGGAAUUCAAAUCCAUGCCUAUGUGUCUCCAAAGUCCAUCAUCUUUCAACUAGAAUUUAACUCAAUCCAAAUCAACAAAUACUUAUUGACUGCUCAAUAAAUGUGCUGGGCACUGUGCUAGGAUAUGGCAGUGAACAAGACCGAUACGGCCUUUGUGCUCAUAGGGGUUACUAUCCAGAUGAGAAAACAGACAUCGUAAAGCUGGGCACAGUGUGGUGAUUGUCAGGUAAGGUGAAGUGCAUAUAACCUCCACACUCUUCAGGCAAUGAGAAGUACAUGUGAGCUCUAAUCUCUGCCCCAGAGUUCAAAACAUUAUGGGUUACGCAUGUUCACGUAGGCUGGCCUUGGGGUGUGACCAACCCCAAGGCAUUAUUUCUGUGGGAAAAUGCAGGCUGAAUUCUAAACUGAUGUAUAAACAACUUUGGGAGCCCAGCAGUACUCAAAGUUGGUACCUGCUUUUUAUGCGAUGUUUUAAUGCAAAAGCAGAAGAUUUACCUUUCUCACUGGAUUCCACUGAGUAUAAAAAAUAAAAUUAGUGUCAGCAUGUAUUUCUUGAAAGUAGACUAAUUGAAGAUGGGAGGAUCAGUCAAACCACGGACAUUAAUUAUUGAGUAUCUGCUCGGAGUUCGGCACUAUGCCCAGGCAGUGUGGAAAUACGGGAGAAACGUAAGACUGGAUCAGCCCUGUCCUUGGAGAGUCUGUAAAUAACAAACAGGACACCCACAGAAGAGCACUUUCUGUAAAUGAUGGCCUAUGUCAAAUUUCCAAGAGACAGGGGUGGACACAUGUCUGUGAAACAGACAAGGCAAGGCAAAUAUAAGGGAAAUUGACCCAGGCUUCAAAAGACAAAUAUGAUUUAACUAUUCAAAGAAAGUUUAUUGUAGCAGUGGGAGGAGUGUUAACCAGGGAGUGAGGCUUAGGAAGGACUAGAUGUGUUCUGAAAUAAUGAAUAGACCACUGAGGCCAAGUGCUGGGAAAUAAGGUCCGAAGUUAGUUUCUAAUAAGAGAGGAGCUUGUCUUCAACACCUUUGCAUCCCAAAGGCCUAGCAUGGUACCUGACAAAUCAUAGGUGCUUAGCUAAUGUUUAGUGAGCUGUUGGAUAGAAAGAUAUUACUUCAGUUGAAAAGAGAAAUAACAAAAAGUGUUAGGCUUGUCUCAACAUGUGCCAGAAAGGCCUACCAUGACAAGAGCAAAUGUCAAGCUGCAUAUAAUUAAGUGCUAAAUUCUACAAUAAAGCCAAAAGUUUUCAGAAUGCAGAAGAGGUGGUGAGUGAGACGGAGCUAAAAGAACCUGGGGUGAUUUCUUAAUCGAGGAAGAAUUGGGCCUAUUAGGAAAGGCAGGGUCUGGCUCUCAGAGGUCACAAUUCAGAUGUCUACAUAGGCAGGAUGGAUAAUAUAAAAGUGUGAACCCAGUCAUCUAGAAAGCAAUAGGAACGAGUGGGACUGUGGGUUUUAGGAAAUAAUUCUGCAAGCCAAACACAAUACAUCUGUGGGCUAGAUUCAGGUUGUAAACCACCAGUUGGAGGCUUUCAGGACAGACAGAAGGGAGAAAAACAGGGUGACUAUAGUCAAUAAUUUAAUUGUCACAUUUAACAUAACUAAAAGAAUAUAACCGCAUUGACUGUAACACAAAGGAUGGUUGCUUGAGGACAUGGAUACCCCAUUUUCCAUGCUGUGAUUACGCAGUCCAUGCCUGUAUCAAAACAUCUCACGUACCCCAUAAAUACAUACACCUACUAUGUACCUACAAAAAUUAAAAAUUAAAAAAAAGAAAAGGAGGGAAAAAAGAAUCCCUUCCAGAGUGAAGGAAUAGGGUAAAUGACAAAGAAAGAAGAAAGAGCAUGAAGGUUUGGUGGGAGAGUGAGAGUCUGGCUGUGCUAGAAUGUAAACUGCAGGCAGAAAACAGUUGGAAAUGUGGUUGGAGAGGAAAAUUAAGCUGAGUUUGGAUUUCAGGCCAAAGGCAAGGUAAUAAAUAGAGGGCAAAGAUGACUUUAGCAUGCUAGGUUGCUUGCAGAAACUGUGCUGAAAUUAAACUUUAUUUUCCAACCCAGACUGUUAAACCAAUUGUGUUUAUCUCUAAGACAAAACUGAUCUGAAAACCUCCCUGAGAAAAUGUCCAUUCUAGAACUCUUAGAUCAUUUGCUGGAAGCUUCCUUGCUGCAGUCUUUGGCUGCUGCCCCUCAGAUUGUACAUGGCAGGUGAGGCACCACAGACAGCUGCUGAUCAAAUGCAUCCUUAAAAACAGGGCGCCUCCUCCCUCACUUAACUCAUUUCACUUAAGGAUUUACAUUUAUACCAGGAGAGCAAAUCAAAGUUAUAGUUCCCUCAGCAACUGUAACCUGGACCAAACAUAGCUAUAUUUAUCUGCUGCUGAGAGGGCUUUUAACUCAUGUCUCCCAACUUCGAAGGGGAGAUUUAAUUCAAACACUAUGCAAGAAAUGCUUUUUGGAAACCAAGUGGCUGCCCCAGUGAAGGUUUAGAGUGUAAAUGGCUGUUCCUUUCAACUAGUGCUUUUAUGCAAGGGUUCCCAGCAGACAGAAAUCUUCCGCAGCCCCUCUACAGUCUUGGAGGGUGAAUAGAAGGGUACCUUCUCCAUUCCUCCAAGCCGCCACGCCAUUUAUGGGUCAGAGCCCAGCUUUGUUACUGCAGGCAGCCAGUGUUGAUAAGAGGACUGUGCAGGGGCCAGGACUAGGGGGAAGGAGUGAUACAAGUUAGACACUAACCUAGGGGGCAAAAUUGAAGGGGGUCCCAAAAAACUCAGUAAUCAAGAAAAUUAACACUUAAUGCAAUUUUUUUGUUUAAAAAAUUAAUGCAAAAACUCAUGGUAAACAAAAUAACAAAAUACUGAGUUUUUAAAAUGUCAUGUGAAAGUAUUAUUUGAUUUGAUUACUGAAUUUUUGGUGCCCCAUUACAUUCUGCCCUUCCUCCCAGGCCAUGCCUCACCUCAUCCUGGCUCUGAGAGGCAGUGAAGAAGGGUAUGAGAUUGAGGAUAGGAAGGAGGGAGUGUGUGAGGCCAUCGUGCAUUUGGCUGUAGGCAAACUUCUUUAAACUUUGGUAAUGGCAGAUAAUGCAAUAUUAAAGAAUACCUUAAGAAGUAUUUCUAGCUGAUGCUGAUGGAACAGAACCUGGUGGAUCAUUAACUUUACUAGGGGGAGGUCUAGUCAACUGUGAGCAAAAGCUGUCUUCUUAUUUUCCAGAUGGAUUCCCCAAGAAUACACAACCCAAAGACCAUCCCUAAGCAAUGCCAAACCAACCAUUUUCCAUGCCCGCCAGGCAAAGAUCAGGUGACACUCAAGUCCUAUACCCUGGCCUAGGACUUACCACAUGGCUAGGGAUGUCAAAUAGCCCACGUGAAAUACUAUAGGCUGCAAGGUCCCUGAGAACAGGACAGGCUCCUAUGCUCCUCCAUGUUCCACCUCCCCAGAGCCUAGUCCUGGGUUAUGGCAUGCUAAAUGUUGGUUUAGUCAUGCAAUUACCUAAUUAUUCAUUUGGUAGGAGGUUACAUUGGCCUUCUGAUUGGUUGAGACAGUUAGGAAUUUUGCAAAUGGAACCUUCUAGUAAGGCUAGUCCUUUCUGGAUUUUUUUGUCUUAACUCAUAAAUCAGAAAAACCUGUAUCUAUCAGGUUUUUACACUAAUUUCUAUGUGUAAUUUCCCUUCACAUAGAAAUAAGUAUACUUGACAGAACUGUUCACCUUCAACCCUCAUUCUUCAUAAGUGAGUAAUCAUCCCUUAAAUACUUCAAAAAUAAGCUUCUUAAAAACAUUUUAAAUUUUGAAAUAAUGUUGAAUUCCUAGCGAGUUGCAUAGAUGGUACAGAGAGUUCCUAUGCACCCUUCACCCAGCACUGGUUAAUGUUAACCUCUUACAUUACCAGAGUAGAAUAAUCAAACCAGGAAAUUCACAUUGGUCCAAUGCUAUUAACUACACUGUAACCUUUAUUCUAAUUUUGCCAGUUUUCCUUCUAACAUCCAUUUUCUCGUCCAUGAUUCAAUUCAGGAUCCCACAUUGAAUCCAGUUGUCACAUUUCCAAAUCUGUGAGAGUGCCACAGUCUUUCAUGACCUUAACUGUUGAAGAGGACUAGACUGGUAUUUUUCAAUCCUCAGUUAGGGUUUGUCUAAUGUCUUCUCAUCAUCAGAUCGAGGCUGUACAUUUUUGGUAAGAUUCCCAUAGAAGAGAUGUAGAGUCCUUCUCAGUGCAUCGUGUCAGGAGGCACAUGACGUCAGUAUGUUUCCCUGCUGGUGGUUUCCCUUUGCUCAUUUGGUUAGGAUAAGGUCUAUCAGUUGUCUCCACUGUAAAGCUACUGCUUUCCCUGUGCCAUUAAUCAGUGGAUACUUUGGGAAGACACUUUGAGAUUAUGCAAAUAUCCUGUUUCCUAUCAGAUUUUUGUCCAUGACUUUUAGUAACCAUCGAUGGUUCUUCCUUGUAACAAUAAAUCUGGUGGUGUUUGUCAAAUCAAAAAUCAACUUUUCCUAAUUUUUAUGUCCUACUUAAGGCCAAAACCUACCAGGUGAAAGACGACAAUCUCCCUGUCACAGUGACCUUCCCCACAUUUUGGGAUUGGCCAUCUAGUUUAAGCAUAGCAAAUCCAUGGUACCCAACUCAUUGUCCCCACCCCUCACCUACUGCAGGAACCAAGGCUGUCUUUCUCACUGCCCUGCAGGAGACCUCGACAUUCUCAAUGCUAUUAGGAAAGAAGCCACAGCAGAUCAAUGAGAACUAUCAUGAGAAAUGAAACAUAUCUCCCCUCCUUGGUCUAUGUUGGGUGUUUAGUUUUUCUUAAAAACACUACAUCCCUGGAGCAUACUGGCUUUGCCAAGUCCCUUGAGAACCCUUAAAGGGUGGCAGAUUUAGGGUCCACUAGGGGAAGAGAAUUGCACAGGCAUCUCCCUUGGGUCUCUGGAUUUUUCUUGUUUGGGGCCAUUGUUUUGAGUCCCUGGCAGGGGUGUGCUGGUAGAUGUUUGUCCAUUGUUUUUCCAGAAAGAAAAAAAUAAAGUCCUGGAUAUAUGCAACGUUUUCCAAUUUCUGUGGCAUUAACACCCCCUUUCUGGUUGAUUUCAAGGCACAGCAGCAGAGCUGGAGACAGUAUUUCCACCACACAGACACAAUAGAUGUAAAUAACCUCAAGAGGGUAGAUAAAAAUAAAAUGGAGCCAGCUCAUCGGGAAGUUUUUGAGUUUUGAGAUCUUAUUACCUUAGAUUUUAAUAUAGUUUAUUUAAUUAUAGAUUUAUAACAAUUUUUGAUGAUAACGGUUAUUUAACAAUUGCCUCACAAAAUUCCUAAACAUUUAAUACUCGGUUCUUGUGAGCUGGAAAGAGCCAGCUCCAGCUCACUGCCCUGUACAGUGGUGAUCAGGAGCCCUGAAGUUCUGGAAUUCCCCGCAGGAGCCCCUGAAAGGACAGGAAGACACCUUUCUCCAGUCGCUCCAGGAAUUCCUAUGAGGUCCAGAUGCCCUGCAGGGAAGGCCUGCCUCCAGCAGCAGCAUCUGCCGCUUCCCGGCAAGCCUUCUGUGGAGACUGCGAGGGCUCCAAACCAUCUGGCUGCCACCAGGGCUGGCUUGGGGGUUGCCCUCAAUACUAAUGGGGCUACAGAGUUCUCUCCAGGCUCAGUGCCUGCCUUGCAUUCUCCCAGGAAGCCACUUUACCCUGUACUGUCCUUAAAAGAAUUAUAGGGAUGUUUUAGAAGCAGCCUGGAACAGCAGAAAGAGCAUAUGAGUGAAUCGGAACAGUGAGGGAAGAAGGAAAGCCACGUGCAUAGAGUGCAGAUUAUUUGCCAGGCAUAAGGCUGGAUGUUUUCACAGGUGUUCUUGUUUACUGUAAUUCUGACACACCUGGGAAAAGAGUAUCCUCAUCAUACAGACAGGUUAGAGCAGCCAUCCCUAGCCUUUUUGGCACCAGGGACCAGUUUCAUGGAAGACAAUUUUUUCACAAAACGGAUGGUGGGGCAGGUGGUUUUUGGAUAAUUCAAGUGCAUUACAUUUACCGUGCACUUUAUUUCUAUUAUUAUAUUACCUUGUAAUACAUAAUGAAAUAAUUACACAACUCAACAUAAUGUGGAAUCAGUGGGAGCCCUGAGCUUGUAUUCCUGCAACUAGACAGUCCCGUCUCAGGGGGAUAGGAGACAGUGACAGAUCAUUAGGCAUUAGAUUCUCAUAAGGAGCAUGCACCCUAGACUCCUCUCAUGUGCAGUUCACAAUAGGGUUCGCGUUCCUAUGAGAAUUUAAUGCCGUCGCUGAUCUGAAGGAGGCGGAGCUCAGGCAGUAAUGCAAGCCAUGCGGAGUGACUGUAAAUACAGAUGAAGUUUUACUCGCUCUCCAGCUGCUCACCUCCUGCUGUGAAGCCUGGUUCCUAACAGGCCAUGGACCCAGGGUUGAGGACCCAUUCUGGGGUUGGGAAGUUAGAUGACUUCUCAAUGUCCCACAGCUAAUAACAGCAGAGCUAGAAUUUAUCCCCUGCUCUGCUCACAGCCGUAGCCCCAGCAUACAGAAUAGAGCACAUGUUAGGCAAUUUCUAAAUAUUUGUGGAAUGGAUACAAGAUGCAGUCUGACUUAAAGCCUGUAGAGGCUCCUCCAGGGAAAUGGUGCAGGUGAAAGUGCUGUUAACUGGCGAUGUGUAGAUGCAGAGUGGGGGGAGGUAACGUGGUGCCUGAGAGGCUGUUGAGUUGGGAAUGUCACCUAGCCUCUCUGAGACUCAGCCUCCUCGCCAGUUAAAUGGGGAUAGUAAGAUCUACCUUGCCACUUUGGCACCAGAAACAAACAACUGUGUCGUAUAAGAACACACACUGCCAGUUAGAAGGUGCUGGGGAAGUGUGUGGUAUACAGUCAUCCAUAGAAGUUGUGCCAUUGGCCUCAGGAGGGCAUUUCUAACUCCACGGAAGCCAGAGGAAAAGCAAGGGGUGAAAACAAAGCAGCCUUGGUCACAGCAGAAGGUGCAGUGAUCUCAUGUAUUUCAACCUCAGGUUUGGGGCUUAAUUAGCUGCUCUCUGGCAUGCACCAUAGACAAAAGAAUUUCAGCAAGCCUUGUCUCCCUGCCUUUUAUUUCAAAUAUGAGGGAGCAGAUAGGUUAGAAGAAAACCCUGCUGCUCUUGCAGGGUGGUAUUGAUUCCUGGGAAUUAAACAGUAAUGCAAAGAGGCAGUGGCAGCCUCCCUUCCACCCUGCAGCAGGCAAACUGCCUAGGUUUAUCAGAGAACCCAGAGCUCAGAGUGGCCACAGGGGAUGCACUUCAGAAGAAGGCGCCCAAGCGUAGACAGGCAGGGUGGACUGCUUUCCCACACGCAGGUCAGGGGCAGGACUCCACCAAGAAUGCCCUCUAGUCUGGAGGAUUCAUGCUCAUGCCGCAGUCCCCUCCCCUCCCAUCGGGAUUCUAACACAGCUAAGAUGCUAAUGCCCUUUGCUGUCCAUAUCUGAUCCUCUUCAAAGGAGAGGCAUGAGUGUGUGUGUGUGUGUGUGUGUGUGUGUGUGUGUGAGAGAGAGAGAGAGAGAGUCUGUGUGUGUGUGUGUAAACAUACAUGCACCCAAAACCACACGUGCAUAUUCAACGCAUUAGACAAAUCAUUCAUGGGGGGUGGGGGGCAUGUGGAAUGGGAGUAGAAGACGGGGAUAAAGGGUAAGAAAUUGUUCAAUAAAAUCAUAGGAGUCCAUUGUUUUGGACUGAGCUCCUGCACUAGGCCCAGAUCAAACCAAGAUGGAGUCGCUUGCGCUAAGUGCGACAUACUAAAAUGGGAACUUUAAGGAAGCAGGAAAAUCCCCCAAAGAGACCAGUCUUUCUUAAAAACAGAAGGUUCACAGCAACCAGUUGGAAAGGGCAUGGUCAUUUGAGCUGGCAUGAUAAGGAAGUCCCCCUGCUUUAACUCUUACAAGGAAAGUAACCUGAAGUAACCUGAUGUUAACCAACCCACCUUUUUGUAUCAUCCCAUUUCCUUUUUCCUACUCAAGCUACCUUACAAUAACCAACUGCUUUGCUGCGCCCAAGAGAGCUCCUUCUGUCUUUUAGAUACGAAUGCCUGACUCAUGAAUCACUAGUAAGAGUCAAUUAGAACACUAAAAUCAAUUUGAUACAAUUUUGUUUUAUGACAAAAUGCACACGCAUAUACACACACAGAACAGGGGAGGAUCUUGCACAGACCAAUGAAGAUGAUGUGUUAUGAACUCAGGAGUGUGAUUAAUUCAACCCUCUGCACCUGACAUCUAAAGAAGGCAAAAAGAAGAAUACCCUGCUAGCACUCAGCGCACAAGAAAAGAAGGCAAAAAGAAGAAUACCCUGCUAGCACUCAGCGCACAAGACCCCAGGGAGAAAUCAGGCCCUGCCAUUAAUUGGAGCGAGACAUAUUCAUUCAUUUAUUCCUUCCUUCAGAUAGCUUCAAGAGCCAGGCAUUGUGCUGGGGUGGGCGGGGGGUAGAGCAGCAAGAUCUCUCUCCUCAUAGCACUCUGGUUUCUGCAGGCAGACAGAAAAGUCCACAGAGGGUGACAACACAGGUGCCACAAUGGAGCAAGCACAAGCUGCUCCUUGGACCACAAGAGACAUGGAGAAGAGGAUUAGAGAAGGCUUCUCAGGAGAGUCACAUUUAACCUGAUUUCUGAGGGGAAGGUAGGAUUUAGCUAGGCUAAGAGCAGAGGUGAUGCAUUCAGGCAGUGUGAACGGCACUCCGCCGCAGUGAGAAGUGAGAGGGUGCUGCACAAGUGAGGAACUGAAAGGAUUUUAAUGGAACCAGAGAAUAGACAGUUCAAGUGGGAUGGGAGAGACUGAAGCUGAAAGCGUAAACUCUGCGAAGUCAGUGUGGAAGCUCAGGUUUGAGACCUGCUCUACACCUGUGGCUCAGGGAAGCUCCCUGAGCUUCCACACUCAAAGCCUCCUGUUACACAGGAGAGAGUAACACAAAAUGACUGGCGCUGGGAUAUCAGGGUGCACACAUGGUUCUGAAAACACAGACAAGGAAGUCCCUAAUUCUGCCUGGGGGCAGAGCGGAGGAGAAGGAAGUGGGAAUGGAAUUGAGAAAAUCUCAGAAAGGAAGUGUUAUCUGAGCUGAACUCCAAACGAGUUUAGGAUUCUACCUGCAGAGAAAGAUGAGAAAUUGGAAGAGCAUUCCAAGCAAGAGACACUGCACUAAGCAAAAGCAAAAGCCUCCCAACUGAUGUCUAAGUUGUGAACAAAAACAUCAAAACCUGGCCGGGCGCAGUGGCUCAUGCCUGUAAUCCCAGCACUUUGGGAGGUGGAGGUGGGCAGAUCACUUAAGGUCAGGAGUUCGGGACCAGCCUGGCCAACAUGGUAAAAUGCCGUCUCUACUAAAAAUACAAAAAUUAGCUGGGAGCAGUGGCUGGCACCUGUAAUCUCAGCUACUCAGCCAGCUGAGGCACAAGAAUUGCUUGAGCCAGGAGGUGGAGGUUGCAGUCAGCUGAGAUUGCGCCACUGCACUCCAGCCUGGGCAACAGAGUGAGACCUUAUCUCAAAGAAAAAAAAAAAAUCAGAACCCUUAAACCAUUCAUGACUGAGAGUACCUUGGUAGCCCCCCACCCAGGUUUAGCCAAUAGACUCAAAUACUUUUUUAAAAAAAGAUGAUUCUGAGAAUUCCUUAUGUCCACGAUUCAGAUGCAGCCAACACCUUUUCUUCUUGAGAAUUAGGAGUCAUCUUUACCCACUUUAAGACUGCUAAGCAGAGUAGCAAACAACGACUCUCCUUUUUCUUGAGGAAUGAAACAUAAAAACAAAAACCCUGUCUUAAGAGGGGAAAAACCAACUCUCUCUGGGUCUGGAGCAAUAUUAAAUUUUAUCAGUUACUCGGCAGCCAGCAAAGCACAGAACGAAGCAGUGUGAAACCGCCCUUCAAAGUAACUGGAGUUGACAACUAAACUUGCUCAGUGAGGGGGGAGAAAAGGAGUUAAUAGAGGAAGAAGUCAGGCCUUUUAUCCUUCACCUGAGCUGGUCCCUUUCAUAUGCUAAGAGACCAGGAGCAAGCUGGGUGAGGGAAUUCAACACUAUGAUUAAAAAAAAAUCAACAGCCAGGCUAAGGCAGACAUCUCCCCCUGAGUCCUACCAUGACACCCAGGGUUUCAAAGAAUAAGGUUGGCUUGCUGCUCUGGGCUGUAAUUACCCAAACAAUGACAAUCUAUUGAAGACAAGCAUCCUGUCCCAUUCCCCAAACACACAGCGCCCCCCAAAUGGAAGCUUGGCAUCCUGCACUGUAAUUGCUAAAUUUCCACACGUGGUUCUACCCUGGGCAAUGCCUCCAGUAGGUGGACAUAGUCUCUAUUCUUGGAUGUUCCAUGGAACAUCAAUGGGUUGUUCCAUGAUGCCAACUAAAAGCCAGUAAAAAUGGCUAUGCUCUUGUCAGCAGAGAAGGUCCAAACAACCAGGAGAAAAAUCCAGAACAUUUGCUCUGGGGGCCUUUUUUAUUAGUUUUCAUCUAAGUGUUCAAUUUUGAGAAGUUGGUGCCUGUAGAAAGCAAACAGCACAUUCUACAGUCUGGAUUUUCAAAGUUGGAUCUUUGCAUAUUCCAUGUCCCUUCUAUCCCAUGAAGAUGAAUUCAUGAGUACAAAUUAAUGUGUUUGAAAUAUUUGCCAUUUUGUGGUUUAUUAAAUGCAUAUUGGAAGAUGCUAGAUUUUUUUUUUUUUUUUUUUUUUUUUUGAGACAGAGUCUUGCUCUGUCUCCCAGGCUGGAUUGCAGUGCCAUGAUCUCGGCUCACUGCAAGCUCCACCUCCCAGAUUCACGCCAUUCUCCUGCCUCAGCCUCCAGAGUAGCUGGGACUACAGGCGCCCACCACCACGCCCAGCUAAUUUUUUGUAUUUUUUUAGUAGAGACGGGGUUUCACCGUAUUAGCCAGGAUGGUCUCGAUCUCCUGACCUCGUGAUCCGCCCGCCUCGGCCUCCCAAAGUGCUGGGAUUACAGGCGUGAGCCACAUGCACCCAGCCGGAAGAUGCUAGAUUUUAUAGACUGGACAGGGUUCUUAAAUUAAGAAGGUAAAGAACUGAGAAUGAGCCCAGCUAUUCCUCUAUUUCCAGUGAAUACUAAAGGAAAAAAAAAGACAGGUCAUAUUAGAGCAAUGGUUUCUGAGCAUGGCCUCUACAUUGGUAGCAUCAACAGCACCUGGGAACUUGCUAGAAAAAUAAGUUACUGGACGCCAGGACCCCACCGUCCAGACUAAUGAUCAGAAACGUGUUUUAACAGCUCCUCCAGGUUACUGGGGGUGCCUGCUCAGGUUUGAGACCUGCUCAACACCUGUGGCUCUUCAUGCUGGCUGACAGUUAGCAUCACCUGGUAAUCAUCACCUUUUCAUUGCAGUGCCCCACCCACCCCAGACCAAUUCAGUCAGAAUACUUGGGACAGGGGCCUAGGUAUUACUGCUUUUGAUGCAAGAUUUUUCUUCUCAGUCGCUUUGCAAGCCGGGGACCCCCAGCCAGUGACGCCCUGCCCAGGUCUCACUCAGCCCAUCCAGCUCACCAACUAUGUUAUAGCUUGUACCCAUAUUCAGCGGUUCCGGAUCUCUUGUGCCGCACCCAAGAAGAAUGAGGAUACGUGGGGCAUUGAAGGGUGAGGAGGGCGGAGAAUAAUUUUCUUGAGCAGUGAAAACGGCUUUCAGUGGGGGGGCGGGGGGAUGGUGGGGGGUGGAGGUGGGGCACUGGUUCCCCUACCCCAAGAUUGGAAAGUUGUCCCCUCCCCGUCCCUCCCCACACCUUGUGUGACUGGGUCUGGGGCCUUUUAUAGACUCAGAAUGGGGACUGCCGAUUUGUUUGUUAGUACGCAAAAAAAGGUUAAAGGGAAGACACCACUCAAAGGUGGGCAUGACAGUGUAGAAAACCAAUUAGGAAAAGGUAAGUUUAUGUAAAAUAAGCGAAGGGUGGGGAUCAAUCAGAGGAAAGUGUGCCAAAUGGUAGGACAAGUUCUCAAUCCAGUCUGAGGAUUUAACAUACAGCUUGACUUUCAGGUUUUAAACUCUUCGGCUUGGAGAUGGGGUUUCACCGGGGACCCACCCCAUCUUCCUACCCAUUUGGCUGACUCCUGCUAGUUUGACUUUUAAAAAGCUCCCCGGGUGGCUUGUAAUCCCAGCACUUUGGGAGGCCAAGGCAGGAGGAUCACUUGAGGCCAGGGGUUUGAGACCAGCCUGGGCAAUAUAGUGAAACCCCAUCUCUACAAAUUAAUUAAUUAAUUAACUAAUUAACCAAGUGUGGUGGCUGGUACCUAUAGUUGUAUCUACUCAGGAGGCAGAAGCAGAAACCUGGCUCAAAAAAAAAAAAAAAAAAACUCUCGAGGUGAUAUGACUAUGCAGGCAAUGAGGCAAUGUUGAGAGCCGCUAUAUAUUAGAACAUGAGAAAUUUAGGUACUUUUGGGCCUCUCAUUUUCAGUUUAGCUCAAAGUAAUCAUGGCUACUGAAUGCCUCCUAUUCAUUGAAGAAGCUUUUGAGAAAAGAAGAGAGAUUUCCAUCUUCAUGAGCAGGAGAGGUGAGAUGUGAAGCUCACCAAAAGCAUCAAAAUUUCUACCAAAUUCAAUGGUGAUAACAGUAUUUAAUAACUCAUCCAGCAAAGACAGUUGCUCACCCGGAGAAAGGGGUGGGUUAGUCCCCACAGUCAGAAUUCAUUAUAAGAGCACUGCACUCAGAGGCGGUAAAGAGUGACACGCACCUCCCACACACCUCAAGUCCAGAUGCCACAAUCCCCCACGGGGAGCUCAGAGCCUCCCACUCACUUCUUGGCUUUGAAGCCCUAAGUAUCGAGGGUGUGUAAGACAGCAAGCAGCCUCUUCUCACCAGUGUCUGAUGUCAGGGAAUGUGCAAAAGGGUGACAGCCUGUCAGGGUAGAGCUCUAGGGGGCCACUCCCCUGGGAUGGGCAGAGCCUCAGCAUCCUACUUCACAAAUAACUGUGAACUGGGGCCAUCUUUCCACCAAACCAGGAACUUGACAAUUAGCACAUUAUAACUGGAUCCCCCAAACUGGGGGCCACUGGCAUAUUCCCAAGGACCCACAUUUUUUUCCCCAUUUAAAGGGAUCUGAGCAUUACUAAAAUGUAAAAAACACUGUGGAUUGGCUUUUCAACAGAAAGAGGCAAAUUUUUUUUUAAGACAGAGAGUCAGGGUCUGUUCUGUCACCUGGGCUGAAGUGCAGUGGCAAGAUCAUAGCUCAUGGAAACCUUGAACUCCUGGGCUCAAGGAAUCCCCUCACCUCAGCCUCUCAAGCAGCUAGGACUAUAGGUACAUGCCACCACACCCGGCAAAUUUCUUUUCUUUUCUUUCCUUUUUUUUUUUUUUUUUGUAGAGACAGAGGUCUUGCAAUGUUGCCCAGGCUGGUCUCAAACUCCUGGCCUCAAGUAAUCCUCCUCCCUGGGCUACCCAAAAUGCUGGGAUCACAGGCAUGAUCAACCUCCCUGGCUGAGGCAACAUUAUAUAGGAUGUUACCACAGAAAUAAUAGACAAACCCUCAUGUUUCUACACUAUGAGUAAGACUGAAAUCUCCCUUUAAAAAAACAAUUUUUAAAAAGAUCAAAUAGCUAAGACUGGAACCAGCUCAACAGCUGGCUACUGAAUGUCCUUAUAGAAACAUCAUCACCCUAACAUCAUCAUCUGAAUGAAUCUAGAAUAUCUAAGCUUUUGGUUAUUAUACUGUCUUUCCAUUAAAUGAGGUAGGAGUAGAAAGAAAAAGACCAUGCCUUUGUAUCCCCUAUGCCUGUGAUUACACAGAGUCUGAAUCAGACUGACCUGUGUUUGAAUUUUGACCCUGACAUUUAUUUGCUCUAUUUAUUUGGCCUUGAAUGCUAAUGAAGUCUAUGAAUUUCAGGUUUUUCAUCUCUAAAAUGGGAAUAAUAAGCCUUAGUAUCUAGGAUCAGGGUGAGCAGAGAGAAUGCGCAGAUUGCAUUUAGCACAGUGCCUAGAAACCAACAAAUAGAGAUAUGAUCAUUAAUUAUUCACCACUGAACACUAGCUGAAGCUUCACCUCCUUUGUGUAGGCUUCCUUGACAAAAAUGCUUACGCGCACGCGCGCGCGCACACACACACACACACACACACACACACACACACACACACACACACACUUUGUAGCUCUUGUACCCCAAAUAUGCAUCUAGAUUUUAGUCGUUAUAUAUUGGGGAUAGGUUUUCUUGUUCCCAGUGCCUAGCGCACACCGGGUAUGUCAUAUGUAUUAAUAUUUCUGCAUGAAUGAAUGAAGCAAGCUAUGCAUAUGUAGUAAUAAGACAAGAAGCGGCUUAAUUGGGAUGGUAAGUGUAGAAAGGAAGAGACAGGAGAAGACAGUAUGCAAGGAAAUUGAUCAUAAUGGUUGACUAUGGAUCUGACCAGUAAAGGAACAUUGCUCUGCAGAGUUUUCGAAUUACAGUCAAUAAUAGACACAGUUCAUUCAGAAAGCUCUUCUCUGAGGAUGUUCUAGGGAGGAGAGAGAAAGGGGCAAUGCUCACACAAAUGCUUAGAAAAAAAUGUAUUGGUUGUUUGGGUCUAUGUAGUCCUCUGAAGCCAGUCCCAUCUAAGGACUGAAUACCUCCUGGACAUUACUCAAGGACAAAGAGGAGCUGCCAGAGGAACCUGGGUCAGAUCCAGCACCCUCCUUCCAUCUUCCAAUGCUUAAGAAUUCCAGGCCUGGGUCUAAUCACUACCUCUCAGUCUUCACCACCCCAUCUGGCUUAUCUUCUGCAGAUUCAGCCCUUUGGAAGCCCUCCACUUACUCCCACUGAGACUUUCCUUUGGUUUCCGUCCCCAGCUAAUCUCUGAAUGACGUCUACAAAAUACACAGUAACUUCACGGCCACAGGCAUCUCCCUACCACCAUCCUACUCCACACCCUAUCUCUGGAAUCUGAGCCCCAGCAAUCUGCUCAUCCAGGAAGAGGCUUAAUCAUUUUUGUCAUUUCAGAAGGUAACUGAAGAAACAAAACCGAAGUAAAUCAGCUAAGAAAGCAGACACGAGAGUUUUCUUGCUGUCUAGGCAUAGGAAACUCCUCCUCCCACCCCUGCAAACUAGGGCGUGAGUACGUGGACAAGCCAUCUUAAAAGGCUGCAAUAAUGUCUAUACCCACAUUCUGAGAAAGCCUGGCCAACAAGACACACAGAGACAAAAUGCUAACAUGAUUAACUCCAGUCCCCUAGCCAUCCUUCACAGCAAUGGGGGUUAGUCACAGGAAAAGUAGGCCUGCUGAGCAAGCCGUUGACUUUUAUCUUUAGACUCCAGCUGCUAUCCAUCAGUAUCAAUAUUUCACAAUGUAAUCAACUUAGCCCUAGUCUGAGUCCAGGAUAUCUACAUCAUCAGGAGGACUCACCGCAUCCUGGUAGCUAAGGACUUCCAAGAUGCUGUUGAGCAAUUCAACGCAGUACUUCCUCUCCAGGACCUGGUGUUGCAUGUCAUCCUUCUGCUCCAGCAGCUCCUUCAGCUCUUUGGUGAUGACAGGAAGCAGAAUGUCCCGGCAUUCUGGAAUAAAGACAGUUCAGAGUAGUGUAGAAUUCCUCAUUUUUUAGUUUCUUUUCUUUCAUAUAUGCAUACAAUGUUUCAUUAAAUAAAUAGUUCAUGAAGACAUUCUCCUUGUAAAAAAUUAAAAUAUUAAAGAUUAGGUUAAGAUUUCCUGAGAACAUCAUUCACAAUUCUAGUCCCUUUUCUAACCCUUCCUACCCAGAGGCAACCAGUUAUUUUAUUCUGUAUAUUCUAGUAUGUUCUAUAUAUUUUAUAUAUACACAUACAUAUAAAAAUGUGCCAUAUGAAAUAUCUAGUGUUAUUUUAACUUUGCAUUUCAUUUAAGUCUAUUACUGUCACUAUAAACUUCCAAGACCCUUUUAUACAAUUUUACUUAUGUGUUUAUCAGUAUAAAACAUAUAGUUAUUUUGGCUUUGUUUCCAUUUUAUACAAGGGGACCAUGAUGUAUAUAUUACUCUGAACCUUGAUUUUUUUUCACUCACUAAUAUUUCUUGGAGCACUUUCUGUAUUAUCACAUUUAGGGACCAACUUAGUUAUUUUUAACUGUUUUAUAGUACUCCUUAUCAUGGAUGUAUUUUUCUAUUCAGCCAUACCUGUACUACUGAACAUUCUUCUCUGGUACAGACAGUACAAAAUGAACAACCUUCCACUUGCAUCCUUCUGCACAUUGCUUUCAUUUACCAGCAUGGCCAACGUGGCGAAAACCUGUCUCUACUAGAAAUACUAAAAUUAGUUGGGCAUGGUGACAUGCGCCUGUAAUCCCAG